rnacentral:rRNA from 1 species
GACGAACGCUGGCGGCGUGCUCAACACAUGCAAGUCGAACGCUGAAGCUUGGUGCUUGCACUGGGUGGAUGAGUGGCGAACGGGUGAGUAAUAAGUGAGUAACCUGCCCUUGACUCUGGGAUAAGCCUGGGAAACCGGGUCUAAUACUGGAUACGACAUGUCACCGCAUGGUGGUGUGUGGAAAGGGUUUUACUGGUUUUGGAUGGGCUCACGGCCUAUCAGCUUGUUGGUGGGGUAAUGGCUCACCAAGGCGACGACGGGUAGCCGGCCUGAGAGGGUGACCGGCCACACUGGGACUGAGACACGGCCCAGACUCCUACGGGAGGCAGCAGUGGGGAAUAUUGCACAAUGGGCGGAAGCCUGAUGCAGCGACGCCGCGUGAGGGAUGACGGCCUUCGGGUUGUAAACCUCUUUCAGCACGGAAGAAGCGAAAGUGACGGUACGUGCAGAAGAAGCGCCGGCUAACUACGUG